CCGCGGUGACGUCGCGAUCAGCCAUGAUGAUGCCACGGUGGCACCGUGACGGUGUCCCAGUGACGCCAUGAUCGUGUCGCGAUGACACUGCGAUGACGUCACGAUAACGUCACGAUGGUGUCGUGAUGGCAUCGCAAUGACACGGCGAUGACGUCACCAUCAUCCAUGGUGACACCAUGAUGACAUCACGAUGGCGCCACAACGGUGUCGCGAUAACGCCGCGAUGGUGUCAUGAUGACAUCGCGAUGAUGCCCCGAAGACGCCGCCAUCAUCCAUGACAACGCCACGAUGACAACAUGAUGACAUCAUGAUGGCGCCACAACGGUGUCGCGAUAACGCCGCAAUGGUGUCAUGAUGAUAUCGCGACAACGCCCCGAUGACAUCAUAAAUCAUCCAUGAUGACGUCACGAUAACUUCACAACAGCGCCGCGAUGACACCGCGAAGACGCCGCCAUCAUCCAUGACAACACCGUGAUGACAUCAUGAUGGUGCCACAACGGCGUCGCAAUAUGCCACAAUGGUGUCAUGAUGACAUCGCGACAUGCCCCAACGACGCCGAUGACGCCACGAUAAUUUCACAACGGCGCCGCGAUGACACCUCAAUGACACCGCCACCAUCCAUGACAACGCCACGAUGAUGCCAUGAUGACAUCAUGAUGGUGCCACAACGGUGUCGCGAUAACGCCGCGAUGGUGUCACGAUGAUAUCGCAACGACGCCCCAAUGACACCGCAAUCAUCCAUGAUGACGCCACGAUAACUUCACAACGGCGCCGCGAUGACGCCGCGAUGACACCGCCAUCAUCCAUGACAACACCAUGAUGACAUCACGAUGUCAAAUAUGCCAAAAUAGCGUCAUGAUGACAUCGCGACAUGCCCCAACGACGCCGAUGACGCCACGAUAACUUCACAACAGCGCCGCGAUGACGCCUCGAUGACACCGCCAUCAUCCAUGACAACGCCACGAUGACGCCAUGAUGACAUCACGAUGGCACCUCAACGGCGUCGCAAUAUGCCACAAUGGUGUCACGAUGAUAUCGCGACGACGCCCCAAUGACACCGCAAUCAUCCGUCAUGACGCCACAAUAACUUCACAACGGCGCUGCGAUGACACUGCGAAGACGCCGCCAUCAUCCAUGACAACACCGUGAUAACACCAUGAUGACACCAUGAUGUCAA
rnacentral:lncRNA from 1 species